GUAGGGAAUAUUGCACAAUGGAGGAAACUCUGAUGCAGCGACGCCGCGUGAGUGAUGAAGGCCUUCGGGUCGUAAAACUCUGUGAUAAGGGAAGAUGAUGACGGUACCUUAUCAGAAAAGACCGGCUAACUUCGUGCCAGCAGCCGCGGUAAUACGAGGGGUCUAAGCGUUGUUCGGAAUCACUGGGCGUAAAGCGGGUGUAGGUGGCUAUGCAAGUUGGAUGUGAAAGCCCCGGGCUCAACCUGGGAAGUGCAUCCAAAACUACGUAGCUUGAGUGCGGGAGAGAAAGGCAGAAUUCCUGGUGUAGUGGUGAAAUACGUAGAUAUCAGGAGGAACUCCGGUGGCGAAGGCGGCCUUUUGGCCCAGCACUGACACUCAGACCCGAAAGCGUGGGUAGCAAACAGGAUUAGAAACCCUAGUAGUCC
rnacentral:rRNA from 1 species